CGUGAAGUACGCGCCUAUCGACCACGCGAGCAAGGCGGCCAGGCUCCGUGAGCAGAACCUCGUCAAGUACAGGGACAAGUACGGAGACGAUGAUAUGAAGAAAAUUAUGGGUGGCGGUGGCAAUGACGGGGCAAUUAACCCGAAAACAUAUGCAGAUGCCAAGCACGGCAACUACACUCCAAGCUGGAUGGACAACGGGUCGGGAACCCGUGCGUUCUAGCUGCUAAUACCAAGUCCCCGGGAUAGCCGUCUUUGAUACGUUUCUUUUUUUGCUGACUAUAGCAAUAUUUUCAAAUGAUAAUCGAAAUUAUCCCACUUAAAACAUAUAUAUGAUACAUGUAGUAAAAUUAAAUAUAUUUAAACACAUCAAUUUUGUUCAGUAUUUUGAUUUUUUUUAAAUUGAACGU